UACGGGGGGGCAAGCGUUGUUCGGAAUUACUGGGCGUAAAGGGCUCGUAGGUGGCCAACUAAGUCAGACGUGAAAUCCCUCGGCUUAACCGGGGAACUGCGUCUGAUACUGGAUGGCUUGAGUUCGGGAGAGGGAUGCGGAAUUCCAGGUGUAGCGGUGAAAUGCGUAGAUAUCUGGAGGAACACCGGUGGCGAAGGCGGGUUGCUGGGCUGACACUGACGCUGAUGCGCGAAAGCCAGGGGAGCGAACGGG
rnacentral:rRNA from 1 species